UUUGGCGUAGAGCAGACCGGUAGCUCGUCAGGUUCAUACCCUGAAGGCCGUCGGUUCGAUUUCGACCGCUCCAACCA
rnacentral:tRNA from 1 species